AUUGAACGCUGGCGGCAGGCCUAACACAUGCAAGUCGAACGAGUGGCGGACGGGUGCGUAAUGUCUGGGAAACUGCCUGGUGGAGGGGGAUAACUACUGGAAACGGUCGCUAAUACCGCAUACCCUCGGAUUUUCCCCGAUGGGAUUAGCUAGUAGGUGGGGGAAAGGCUCACCUAGGCGACGCUCCCUAGCUGGUCUGAGAGGAUGACCAGCCACACUGGAACUGAGACACGGUCCAGACUCCUACGGGAGGCAGCAGUGGGGAAUAUUGCACAAUGGGCGCAAGCCUGAUGCAGCCAUGCCGCGUGUAUGAAGAAGGCCUUCGGGUUGUAAAGUACUUUCAGCGGGGAGGCGUUACCCGCAGAAGAAGCACCGGCUAACUCCGUGCCAGCAGCCGCGGUAAUUC
rnacentral:rRNA from 1 species